UGGGGAAUAUUGGGCAAUGGGCGAAAGCCUGACCCAGCAACGCCGCGUGAAGGAAGAAGGCCUUCGGGUUGUAAACUUCUUUUAUGAGGGACGAAGAAAGUGACGGUACCUCAUGAAUAAGCCACGGCUAACUACGUGCCAGCAGCCGCGGUAAUACGUAGGUGGCAAGCGUUAUCCGGAUUUACUGGGUGUAAAGGGCGCGUAGGCGGGAAUGCAAGUCAGAUGUGAAAUCUCCGGGCUCAACCCGGAAGCUGCAUUUGAAACUGUAUUUCUUGAGUGUCGGAGAGGUAGAUGGAAUUCCUAGUGUAGCGGUGAAAUGCGUAGAUAUUAGGAGGAACACCAGUGGCGAAGGCGAUCUACUGGACGAUAACUGACGCUGAGGCGCGAAAGCGUGGGGAGCAAACA
rnacentral:rRNA from 1 species